GGAAUGGAAAUGAGUGAACUUCUAAGGUUUCAAAAAAAGCCUCCUCAGCGUGGGGGAGCCUGUAACUGCAUCUCUUUGUUGUGCAGGUCUGGUGCUGCGUGGGUCACUGUGGACAAAUGUGCUCUGGCUUGCACUGGGAGCCGGUCUGGAGCCCUCGGUGUGUCAGCAGCAUUGCCUGGGGGCACGCAGGGUGGGGGCUGCACUGCUUAGGAAAACUGAUAUUUGUGCCUAGGAGAUGGCUCUGGAGAUGCCACUGGCAGCAAAAACUGGUACUUCCUUCACGAGUUUAAAGCAUAAGGGAGAUUUUUGGUUUUUUUCCUUUAUUAAGACCACAGUAAAAACUCCACAUUACAAUCCUGAAUUGAACACAGCCUGUUCCUUCAGUCCUACUCUGGCAGCCUUACAGCUGCAGCACAAAUGGAGUUAAAAGCCAGACACUGUGUCUGAAACCCCCCAAAACCCCAAGGCAGGCUGAGCACUGGGACAGGAUGGGGGUAAAAGCCUGUGGAGCUUUGUGUGCCAUUGAACUGUGAGCAGUGGGACGGUCAGGCUUGAUAUGAGUCACUGAUUUCAAUUCCUGUUGGGGGGAUUCUGUCAGAGCACUCUGCAGUGUCUGUUUUAGCAUGGUGACCAUUGGAGGUGUGCUCAGAUAUUCCUGCUGUGGUUCCCCCGCCUGUGAUCCCCCUCUGCUCGGCUGAAAUUGCUCUCACUUGCCUGGAGUCACCCAGUUUUCCUCCACCUUUGCUCCCAGGAGAGUUCCUGGGCCAAGCCCCAGCCUGUUUGUGGGGCACAGGAACUGCUGAAGCUCUGGAUCCUAUGGGGGGUUCCAGAUUUCACAGGGAACAGUGGGGUGAAGCUGGGCAAACUCCCACAGGGGAAGAAAAGCUCUGCAUUUACGUGGCUGAGGUCAGGGAAGGGCAGUAGGAACAAAAACUCCUCAGAUUUAGCGAGCAGCGCAUUGCAAAACUCGCUCCACUCGAACAAAUGAUCCACCUAAGCAGCUGCAACCUGAAAGGCCAUUUUCUGUUCCUAACUCCUGUACCUAAGCAUCCCUUUAGAAUGUAAAGUACUGAUUGCAGGGCUGGAAAGCUCUCACAGGGAGAUGAUUGUUGUGAUUUGUACAGUCAGUUCAGGAACACGGUGUUCCCCCAACACCACCGCUCCUGCUCCUCCAGGUAAUGGCAAGGGAAGCCAUAUUUUCCUUUUGUGUCAUUCAAGAGACAAAAGAAUGUCCUGAGCCAGGGAGGAGCAUGAGGAAACAAACCCAGCCAGAUGUUCACUGAAGUAUAACCUGCCUUUAAACCAGACAAACCAACAAAUCUUGGGUUUAACACUACCUGCAGUACAAGGACCUGGCAAAACAGGCUGGAAAAAAAGCACUGACCAAGCACUCCUGGCUGCCUCCCCCAAGCACACGAGCUGCUGGUCUGUCCCUGUUCCCAGGAUUUCCAUCAUCCCAUCCCUGGAACACCACUGUGUGUCCAAGAAGUUUGGGAAGGCUUUGAGCUGGGUUCCCAAAUGCAAACCCAGUGGCUGCUGUCGGACUCCUGGGCGCCGUGAGUGUUUGUGGGGGGAGCUGGAGAGAUGAGCUUCCCGCAGAAAUAGCUCUUCCUUGGAAAGCUGGAGGGCUGAAUCACAGUGUGUUGGCUCGGUUCUGAGCAGACGAGCCAUCACAUCUGCCUCCCUGCAGGCGAGGAGGUGGCACUGGCAGGGGGAUUGGAAGGAGGCUCUGUCCCUUUGGGAGAGCAGGGAACGAUGAUGAUGAUGAUGAUGAUGAUGAUGAUGAUGAUGAUGGGGAAGGUGAGCAGGGUCAGGCUGCCCAGGGCUGGGGGCUCUGGCUCUGCUCUCCCUGUGGCCACAGAACAUGCCCCAAGCUUUGGGGACUGAAUAAGUUCUUUUGCUCAGAAGCAUUAACCACUGAGCUGAGGCAGCCAGAGCCAGCCCAGAGCAUUUCCAUGGCUGGGUUUGUCCUGAGACAGCUGAAAAUACCGGUGAGAUGGGCAAAUAGGAACACCAGGGAAACAUGGGGAAACCUGGGAGGGCACAAGGCAACUCCUGGGCUGAGCUAUCUGAAACUGAAAGCACCUGAGAGACAGCCCUGGCUUGAGAGGCCCUGGGGAGCCUGCAGAGUCCACCUGAUAGCUACAGAAAUGCAAAUAUUCACAGAGGUUUUCUUCCUAGAAAAGAGUGUGAGUCCUUAAAUACACAUUCCUAGCAGUCCAGAGGAAGUCUUGGGGGGAAAAGGGGAUGAGGGAACUAGUGGAAAGUUUCUGGAGCCAGCAAGGAAACAAAUGAUGGAUUUUAAAAUUUUUCCAGAGACACGGGAUUUUUUUGGAGCUGCAGUUUUGGGCUCAGUGCCCCCGCUGCUGCAGUAAUGUUAAUUCUCAAGCCUCCCCUCCAGGUUCAGGCAUGGGCACAGUUGCAAGAGAAGUAGAUUGGGAGUUCCUGAACCAACUGGUUGCUGACCAUGAGUCAGGGGAAUGACCUUGCAGCAGGCGGCUCGCGGUGCCGCUCUCGGAGCCGAGCCAGGAUAAACGGCACUGGCAUCUCUGAGUGCUGGUGGAACCAUUUUGUGACAUUCCAGCUUGGCCUUUUCUACUGCUGCCUUUGCACCGAAAUUGUUUGGGUGGGUGGGAAUGGGAUAGAGUAUUCCCCUUUUUCCUCACAGCCUGGGCUUGGGACUGUCUGUAAACAGAGAUAAAGAGGCUGUGGACAACUCCUAUCUCUUGCCUUCAUCCUCGUCCAUUAAAAUCAGCAUUACAGAUAUUUAACCAAAUUAAAUCUUACUCUCCCCCCAAGCCAUACCCAUAUUAAACUGUAAGAAAACACCAUGAUAAAGUUUUAAAAAUCCUAAGCAGCAGCACUGAAUUUUCUGGAUAGGUCUGGGAGAGAUUUGUCGGAGGAGAGAGGGUAGAACACUUGGCAUUUUGACGUUUUAAUGAAUGUUCCCAAAUAAGAAAAGAAAAACAUUUGCUUGUAGACUUUAAGCUUCUCACAGCACCAGAAAGCUCCUGACACAGAGCCCAAUGCUGUAUUUGUAUAACAUGGAAAUGAACAGCAGCAGCAGCAGCGCUGCAGGCUCCGAGCCUGCUCUGCGAGCAGCAAAAUGGCCAGGGGUGCUGGGGCUCAUCCGAAUUCCUUCAUCAUCUGGGGAGGUCACUGGGUGGGUCUGAUACCUCUGACCCUCCAGGUGUGGUUCAAACUCUAACAUCAAUGUGAAAUGAAUGUUUCUAACCAUAUUCAAGCUUGUGCCCCCAUCAGCUCCACUCCCUAAAGCACCGACAGGAACCAACAGCAAAAUUCGUCUGCGUCACAGAUGUAACAUGACCAUCGGCAAAACAAGUGCAGGGGGAGAUCACGGCUCUCUCGUCCCUCACAGAGCCUCCCUUCUCCAGCAGACAACAAGAGGUAAUGCUUUCAAAUUUAUAUUAUGGGCACGUGAAAUCCUACCCUUCCUUCCCCGAGUGCCACGGUCCCCGGAACGCCCGAGAAAACUGCGCGUGUUUUGUCGGCGUGGUAGCGAUCGCUGCGUCACGAUGCUGCACCAGGGCCGAGGCAGAGCAAACCCCACUCCCCAGAGCAGGGAAACCCAGAUACAGGAAAAUGAAUCAGCUCACACGGUGCCACACACACACGAGUGGCAGAAGGAGGGAGAAAUCACAGCUUUCCCCAGUCCUUUUGCGGCACCGUGCAGAAAACGAGCCCGGAGCAGUUACCCAGGUACAGCUCACAGUGACAGUGGCACAAAAGCACUGCUGUCCUACAGAAAUAUGCCAUGUCCCCUUCUUAGCCUUGUUUCCUGCCAGUCCUGCAGAUUUACCUGCUGCCAGUAACCUCAAUUCCUGAGUAAUGAGAUUUACAGCUGAAGUUUAACAUUGAAAUAACUCCUCUUUUAUCCGUCUCCUUACCCUCCCUGCGUUUGGGCGCAGUUUGGCCAAAACAUGGUGGCAAAAGGAAUCAAAUCCAUGCUGAACACACUCAGCAGCCAGUGGCACCUCCUUGAAAGCCAUGAAACAGCACUAGCUUUACAAAGUAAGGGCUUCUCCACCCCACAGCUAUGGUGGGGAAAACUGCAAAGAGCUGUCCACGCAACCAACGCUGGGGAAAACAGACACAACCCACCCAUCAUCCACACAACCCAGCACCGUGCCUUAGUCCUGGCUGUACAAACCCCCCUCCACAGCUGCCUGGGACUGUUCUCCUGUGUGUGUGUGUAUGUAUUUAUGCCUGUCUGUCUGGCUGCAGGGACCACCUUCGUCGCUGCUGUUCCCGUUGUUCCCCUGCUCUGCGGAUCUGGCGCUGCGGGAGGCGAGGAUGCUCCGAGGGAGCCAGCCACAGCCAGCGGAGGCUCAAGCCCCCUGCAGAGGCCAGGCUGCAGCCCUGGCGAUGGGGACGGCGGCCACGCGGUGCCCGAGCCGGUGCUGAGCCCAGCGGUUGUUGCUAAACAACCAACCCUGACUCUGGAGAUGUCAGCCAGCAAGGAACAGAGAUUAAACACUCCUGCUAGCACAUCCUGAAACUUGGACCCAUCACCGAGGGCAGUCUCCAUCUCUCUGUGAGGUUACAGAGCCCGUGGCAAACUCACACUUGUGCCAACAAAAGCUGAGUUUGGGUAAGAGUCGUUUUCAUUUCUUUAACUAUUCCCACGACACGAUUUCCAGGUGCGGUCCCUGCCCCAAGCAACUCACAGUGCUGCCAACACUCCAGCACCUCACAGGGGAGGAGGAAGCGAGGAGAAAAGCCCCGAAGGCCGGUUCUGUCCCCCGCACCGAGAGCUGCAGCUCUGACACGUCAUCGUCACGACCGGACAGCGGAACGAGACCGAGCGCCCGUGGGCCAGGGGCUGCACCCAGCACAGGCAGCAGGGACCAGCUCAGACCCCCUGAGAGCACCCAUGGGCCAGGGGCUGCACCCAGCACAGGCAGCAGGGACCAGCUCCUGUCCUGCCCGAGGGACAUCCCGGGAUCCCAGGUGGGCACGGAGCGAGCGGCGGGCAGGGAACGGAGUGGGAAGGGAGCAGGGAGCAGGCAGGGAAUGGGCAGGGAGAACUGAGGGAACGCGCAGGGAGCAGGCAGAGAAGGGCAGGGAGCAGGGGAGCAGACAGGGAACAGACAAGGAGCAGGCAGGGAAUGGGCAGCAGUGGGCAGAGGGCAGCUCGGUGCUGGCAAUGCCACAUGGGCACUCCGGCUGACACCCCCAGGCAGGGAGCAGGCAGGGAACAGGGAGCAGGCAGGGAACAGGGAACAGGCAGGGAAUAGGGAGCAGGCAGGGAAUAGGGAGCAGGCAGUGGCAGAGGGCAGCCCGGCGCUCACACGACCCCUGUGCUGACACUUGGCAGGCAGGGAAUGGGAAGCAGGGAAUAAGGAGCAGGAAGCAGGGAAUAAGGAGCAGGAAGCAGGGAAUAGGGAGCAGGCAGUGGCAGUGGCAGUGGCAGUAUCAUGGGCAGGGGCAGGAGAAGGGGCAGUGGCAGUGUCAUGGGCAGUAGCAGCAGCAAGGCCAGCCCCACUCACACAGUCACAGCUGACACCUGAGAGCAGGGAGCAGUGUCGGGGGCAGGAGAAGGGGCAGUGUCAGGGGCAGAAGGGACAGUGUCUCUGUCAGGGGCAGGAGAAGGGGCAGUGUCCCUGUCACUAUCACGGGCAGUGUCCCUGUCACCAGCAGUGUGACGGGCAGUGUCAGGGCAGUGUCCCUGUCCCGGGCAGUGUCACUGUCA